GUCCAGGGGUAGCCUAGUGGACAUGGCAUCUACCCGGUAAGCAGAACACUGUGGGUUCGAUUCCCAUCCCUGGACA
rnacentral:tRNA from 1 species